UCAACUAGCCCAGUAAAGAACAUUAUGACUAAGAUAAUAUACAACAAAUUAUCGUUAGUCUUCAACAGGAAAAAUCUGAUAAAUUAUAAUAGACAACAAGUUUUAGAUCAAUAAAUGCAGCGGAACAGCAAUCCAUUAGAAGAGUCACGUAGAGAAAGAAUUCUACUGUCUUCUAAGGUUUAAAAGUCCAUCAUCAAUAUUUUAUCCCUGUAACAACAAUCAAUAUUCAUCUUUGCACUACAGGCCAAAGAUAUUCAUUUAAAUCACCAG
rnacentral:lncRNA from 1 species